AUUGAACGCUGGCGGUAGGCCUAACACAUGCAAGUCGAACGGCAGCACAGUAAGAGCUUGCUCUUACGGGUGGCGAGUGGCGGACGGGUGAGGAAUACAUCGGAAUCUACUUUUUCGUGGGGGAUAACGUAGGGAGACUUACGCUACUACCGCACACGACCUACGGGUGAAAGCAGUGGAUCUUCGGACCUUGCGCGUUUGAAUGAGCCGAUGUCGGAUUAGCUAGUUGGCGGGGUAAAGGCCGACCAAGGCGACGAUCCGUAGCUGGUCUGAGAGGAUGAGCAGCGACACUGGAACUGAGACACGGUCCAGACUCCUACGGGAGGCAGCAGUGGGGAAUAUUGGACAAUGGGCGCAAGCCUGAUCCAGCAAUGCCGCGUGGGUGAAGAAGGCCUUCGGGUUGUAAAGCCCUUUUGUUGGGAAAGAAAAGCAGCAGGUUAAUACCCCGCUGUUCUGACGGUACCCAAAGAAUAAGCACCGGCUAACUUCGUG
rnacentral:rRNA from 1 species